AGUGAACGCUGGCGGUAGGCCUAACACAUGCAAGUCGAACGGCAGCACAGUAAUAGCUUGCUCUUACGGUUUGCGAUUGUCGUACUGGUGGGGAAUACAUUGGAAUCUACUUUUUCUUGGUUGUUCACGGGGGUAACCUUCCGCUAUUGCCGCUUACACCCUACGGGUGAACACAGCUGAUCUUCGCACCUUGCGCGAUUCAAGUGGCCUAUGUCGGAUUAGCUAUUUGGCGGGGUAAAGGCCCACCAAGGCGACGAUCCGUAGCUGGUCUGAGAGGAUGAUCAGCCACACUGGAACUGAGACACGGUGCAGACUCCUACGGGAGGCAGCAGUGGGGAAUAUUGGACAAUGGGCGCAAGCCUGAUACAGCAAUACCGCGUGGGUGAAGAAGGACUUCGGGUUGUAAAGCCCUUUUGUUGGGAAAGAAAAGCAGCAGGUUAAUAACCCGAUGUUCUGACGGUACCCAAAGAAUAAGCACCGGCUAACUUCGUG
rnacentral:rRNA from 1 species